UACAGAGGGUGCAAGCGUUGUUCGGAAUUACUGGGCGUAAAGCGCGUGUAGGCGGUCCACCAAGUCUUGUGUGAAAGCCCUGGGCUCAACCCAGGAAGUGCGCAAGAAACUGGCGGGCUGGAGUGUCGGAGAGGAUGGCGGAAUUCCCGGUGUAGAGGUGAAAUUCGUAGAUAUCGGGAGGAACACCUGUGGCGAAGGCGGCCAUCUGGACGAUAACUGACGCUGAGACGCGAAAGCAUGGGGAGCAAACAGG
rnacentral:rRNA from 1 species